CUGACCAGAUCUACCUUGGGAACCUGAGCUCCUGACCGGCUGGAACAGACUCCUUUUGGGAUGCCAGACAGGAAUAAGUGACAGCUAUUCAGGGCGAAAGGUUGAGAACUCACCAUGACGAGAUUAGCAGGAUCUUACUGUUCAGGAUGAAUGGACAAAAAGAAGUCAUUAAAAUCAACGUAGAUCUCUGCAAAUGGAUGUAACGGGAACACACAAAUCUAAUUUCAGAUACACCUUUUGCUGUGUUAACUGUUACCCCACAGAGAAAAUAUUCCAAGGUUAUCACAGAGAAAAGCAAGGAGGAUAACUGAGGAAGGAAUACAGACCAAAGCAGAAAAAAAAGAUGAGGUCACCAUAAAACCCCACAUCCUGUGCAUACGGUUCUGAUGUCCUGUCUGAAAAGCAAGGAGCAGAGCUGGAAACAGCAGAGCACCAAGAUGCAUGGCAGCAGCUCAGGGAACGACAGCCACACAAGGAAAGAUUAGGAUUACGCAUCUCAUAAUGCUGCAGAGAUACAGUAGAAGUCUAUAAAAUCAGGAGUGAUGUAAAGAAGGUGAUCAAGGAUAAACUGCUUGCUAUUUCUCACUGCACAGGAACUGGCAAGAUCCCAGCUGCAAUGGGCCAUGGGUGUAAAACCAACAAUAGGAAGAACUUCUCUGUAUAUGUACAUAAAUAUAUACUCACUGAAAACUGUAGGACUUGGUGCCACAAAAUGCUGCGGAAUAUAAAUGGGCUUAGAAUGAGAUUAGACAACUUCAUGAAGGACAGGAGCAUUUGUGGCUGUGAAGCACAAUCUUGUGCCUGCAAAUCUUCUUUGAGGAGCUGAGAAGCACCAUUGUAUUGCAGCCCCACUACAUUCCUGUCUGGUCCAAGCGACUGAACACACAUUCUUAGAUUUCUAUAAGCUGUCUAACAUUCUACAUGUAUAUAUUAUAAGAAAUAUUAAUUGUAACUUAUGGUUUCUGGUAUAUUCUUAGCCUUUGGUAGAGAAUGCAAAUGCUAUUUUAGGGCAUACUGUGAAGAAGGCACUUUGCCAAGACAAGCCUUUGGUGCAGACUGUCUUCUUUCAUCUGGUAUCGGGGCCUUCUGCAUUCCAGUAUUUCCACAAUUUUUAGUGUCAUCUACAAAGUUUAUGAUUAACAAUUCAUAGUUUCUUCUUUCAUCGCUGUUAAAACUUUUAAACUGUGCACGGCCAGGAACUGAUCCCUUCGGGCUCUCGAGUCCCACAGUGCUCAUUUACCAUUACUCUGCCAAACUGCCGUCAGAACUGUCAGAGAGCCACCAUCCAAUCCGUUCAAUUUUUAGCCUGUUUAUUUGUAUGUUUCUGAUUUAUUAAGGAGAGAGUUUGGCAUCAGUCUAUUAGAAGCCUUCCUGUUGGUGGUAUUAAUAGACUAUUACUUUUUUUAAUUGAACUUGUCAGCGAUUCAAAAAUAUGUCAUAUUAGCUCGGUAUUUUCCAUAGACUCAGUGGGGGUGAGUUAUAUUUUCCAGUUUUAAUUCUUCACUGAGUUGCUGCAUCACUCAUUCCGUUCUCUGGCUGUGGUGUCAGGGCACAGGCGCCUACCUGUUGCGUGCUUCCUCACCUGCUCAAACAACAUCAGUUCUGUAACUUCAUUCCCAAACUUACUGAAGAUGGAUGCCAAUUGUCUGGAAAGCUUCCUGUUGGCUCCCGUGUAGCUCUCAGAUGUAAACUGUCUAAACUACAGAUUUAAAAAUGGUGCUAGGCAAUGCCUUCUGUGAUCAACGGGAGUUAAUUACGUCUCGCCAUCAUUUAACGUGACAACAUCGUCUAUCUUUUCCUCUGAAGUCAGAGGAUGGUGAUUAAUAAAAAACUGUGCUUU
rnacentral:lncRNA from 7 species